rnacentral:rRNA from 1 species
UAUGUAGGGUGCGAGCGUUAAUCGGAAUUACUGGGCGUAAAGCGUGCGCAGGCGGUCUGUUAAGACAGAUGUGAAAUCCCCGGGCUUAACCUGGGAACUGCAUUUGUGACUGGCAGGCUAGAGUAUGGCAGAGGGGGGUAGAAUUCCACGUGUAGCAGUGAAAUGCGUAGAGAUGUGGAGGAAUACCGAUGGCGAAGGCAGCCCCCCUGGGCCAAUACUGACGCUCAUGCACGAAAGGCGUGGGGAGCAAACGAGG